rnacentral:rRNA from 1 species
AUUGAACGCUGGCGGCAUGCCUUACACAUGCAAGUCGAACGGUAACAGGUUAAGCUGACGCGUGGCGAACGGGUGAGUAAUACAUCGGAACGUGCCCAGUAGUGGGGGAUAGCCCGGCGAAAGCCGGAUUAAUACCGCAUACGACCUAAGGGUGAAAGGGGGGGAUCGCAAGACCUCUCGCUAUUGGAGCGGCCGAUGUCAGAUUAGCUAGUUGGUGGGGUAAAAGCUCACCAAGGCGACGAUCUGUAGCUGGUCUGAGAGGACGACCAGCCACACUGGGACUGAGACACGGCCCAGACUCCUACGGGGGGCAGCAGUGGGGAAUUUUGGACAAUGGGCGCAGGCCUGAUCCAGCCAUGCCGCGUGCGGGAAGAAGGCCUUCGGGUUGUAAACCGCUUUUGUCAGGGAAGAAAUCCUUUGGGUUAAUACCUCGGGGGGAUGACGGUACCUGAAGAAUAAGCACCGGCUAACUACGUG